UGAAAAAUGUGAUAUCACCAUGCUGUGUCUGGAUCCUGUGCCUCACUACAGAAGGGUCUACUAUUCUUGAAGAUCUUUCGCUUGAGUUUGCAAUGUUAAUAAUUUGUGGGCUUCUGCCAUAUUGCAAGGACACAAUCUAAAUGAUGUAGUUAAUGCUCAUUUUAUUGAAGGGGAUAGGCACAUAUUAUCAGGUCAAGGGCAAAAUCUUGCUGCUGCUCCAAGUAAUCUAAGCCUUGGAAUUUUGCCUUUUGUGGAUGCGGCUACUAGAUUCCAACCUUCACUAUUAUGUUAC